rnacentral:rRNA from 1 species
GAGAUGCAGUGUAUGGAAUGUCAAAUUUCUAGUAUGAGAAAUUAACGAUUUAAGUCCUUCUUAAAUGAGGCCAUUUACCCACAGAGGGUGCCAGGCCCGUAUAACGUUAAUGAUUACUAGAUGGCAUUUCCAAAGAGUCGUGUUGCUUGAUAGUGCAGCACUAAGUGGGUGGUAAACUCCAUCUAAAACUAAAUAUAACCAUGAGACCGAUAGUAAACAAGUACCGUGAGGGAAAGUUGAAAAGAACUCUGAAUAGAGAGUUAAAUAGUACGUGAAACUGCUUAGAGGUUAAGCCCGAUGAACCUGAAUAUCCAUUAUAGAAAAUUCAUCAUUAUGAUUUUAAUAUUAAUAAUAUUAUAAUAAUGGUGUGCAUUUUUUCUAUAAAGGACAUUGUAAUCUAUUAACAUAAAUAUAUUUAUCAUAAGAUCAAUGAUGCGUAAGUUUAUUCAAAUUAUUUUGCUUGCAAUUUAACAUAGAAUAAAUGCUCUUGAUUUGAUAAAGUGUUGAUAGAUUUAUUGUAUAUAGUGCUUAAAUAUUUAUAUUUUAUAAUAGCAUAUUAAUCAUUGAUUUUUAUGUUUAUUAUAUGCACUUAUAUGAUUAACAAUGCGAAAGAUUCAGGAUACCUUCGGGACCCGUCUUGAAACACGGACCAAGGAGUCUAACAUAUUUGCAAGUUAUUGGGUAUUAAAACCUAAUAGCGAAAUUAACAUAACUUUAAUGGGAUUAGUUUUUAGAUUAUUUAUAGUCUAUUAAUUCAAUCCCGGGGCGUUCUAUAUAGUUAUGUAUAAUAAUAUUUAUAUUAUUUAUACCUCUAACUAGAGCGUACCUUGAGCAUAUAUGCUGUGACCCGAAAGAUGGUGAACUAUACUUGAUCAGGUUGAAGUCAGGGGAAACCCUGAUGGAAGACCGAAACAG